ensembl:snRNA U4 U4 spliceosomal RNA
CACACAGUGAAAUGCCAUUUGGCCAAUGAGGUUUAUCUGUGACACAAUCAUUGCUAAUUGAAAACUUCUCCCAGUACCCCGCAGUGACAAAUUGAGAUAGAGCUGGCAUUGGCAAUUUUUGACAGUCUCUAUGGAGA